rnacentral:lncRNA from 1 species
UGUAAUCGAUUACACAGACUGGUAAUCGAUUACCAGAGGCCUCCAUAGUCUUCCAGUUCCCUUUUUGAAGCCUGGUAAUCGAUUACACCCCUUGGUAAUCGAUUACUAGAAGCUCUCCUAGCUUCCUGACCUCGUUUUCAAGCCUGGUAAUCGAUUACACCCCUUGGUAAUCGAUUACCAGAGACCAUCUUAGCCUUCUGUCUUCAUUUUUAAGCCUUGUAAUAGAUUACCCACCCUUGGUAAUCGAUUACCAGAGGCCAUAUCUCACAUAUCAAUCAAAGUUCGCAGCUGGCCAGCCACCACACAAGCCUCCUUGCUUUGUGGUCUUUGUUCCUUUUAUCUGUUGACUGUCAGGAGCUCGCCUGUUUAGGUACAUCACAGGUUCUCACUGAAUGACUAUGCCCGGGUUGGGUCGGGAUUGGUCAAGCUUGGUUUUGGGCAAUAGCACCCCACCUGACGUCCCCAAGGUCUCCCGACCCCCGCGACAUAUCUCCAGGUACCACUCUGUGGUCAACGAAUAAAAGCAGGAAGUUUCACCCUUUUACACUUCCUCAUCUCAAGCUUGUAGGAUUAUGGGGUACCCAUCACAUGUGGUACUAGGUGGCGGUCGGGCGAUGGUGCACAACAAGUUUUCCACAUCCACAAAUCGCGCAUAAACCCACCAUCCCCUGUUGCCCACCUCCAACUGAGCUCACGUACUCCCACGUAGCCCAUAUCUUCAUUUCUCUCAACACCGGGUCCCCAUCAAUCCUCCCAAGCUUCCCCAACAUCCAGGUAAUUUAACAUCCAAAUCAUCACAAACUAACAAACCAAGCAAAACAGGGCAAAGGCAGAAAACUCUGCCCAAAACUCAAACCAAAAUCACAGCUUUUUCUCACUUAAAGACCCCAGUGACAUUUCCUUCGUUCCAAUUCGUUAACCGUUGGAUCGACUCGAAAAUCUUACUGGAAGUCUCUCGUACAUAAGCCUACAUUUCAACCGUUGGGAUCUGCUAGCAAACCUCUAGAACUCAUUCUGCACUACUCUUUCCACAACCAGCAAAACAUAGCAUUUUUCUGCACUUAUGCAAAAUUCUGCUGCACAAUUUCACAGCAAAAUUCUGCAUAAAGUGCAGAUUUCGAAAACCACACUUCCCCUCAUCCAAUCUUGCCCAAAUCAAAUCCUACAAGUCCCAAUUCAUGUAUCAAUCAUGUCUAAACCAAAGUCAAGCUUCAAAACACAGCAACACAAAAUCUAGGUGUCCAAAACCCCUCAAUUUAAUGGAUUUUCUAGGUUUGAGAAGUGAAAUUGAGAAUGGGACAAAUUUGAAGCAAACUCUCACCUCACACAAGUCUAUAACAUCAAUUUAAACUUGUUCAAACUGGAUUUAUGCCUAAAGUUUCACCGAAUCAAAAUUUGACUCUUCAACACCCAAUUUCACCCUAGAAAUGGCUCUUUGUUCACUUUGGUCAUUUGUUUUUCUCUCUAGCACAGCCCAAACUCUCUCAUAAGUCCUAAAUGACAUUUCAAGCUAGGAUUAACUCACUUUAACCUCCAAAUACCACUAAAUCCAGAUUUGGCCUUCCAACUCUCAAAACCUCACUCUUUUUCCACUCAUAACACCAUAUUCUCACUUCCUAACCCUAGGUUAACUCUACCCUUCAUCUCUAAUAGUUUUCCAUAAGCGGUUUCAGCACAUAAACAUCACAAGCAUCAUCAUAAAAACCCUAAAACUGAAUGGGUAAGCUUAACUCAUCCAAACAUGGCAAGUUCAACAUGCUUUCAACAAAUUUCUUCACAAAUAACUAUCAUGAAGCAGAAACCUAGCAAAACUACCCAUCAUAUCUCCCAAAACCCAAUACCCACGAAAAUCAAGUGAGAAAGAAGUCUACCCAAACCUGAAAUUUCGAAGUCCCACACGUAGAGAUGCGCUUCACGACUCCGAAAAUGCCCUCCUUUCGUGAUUUGGAGCAGAA